CUCCGCACGCGUGCUCUCGGCUCGGCUUGACGUGUACGGCGGCUCAGCUCCGUCAAGACCCGAGGCUCGGCUUCGUCAAAUCCCGCAGCUCGGCUUGGUGACUCAGUAUCACUAUAAUAUAUUGAUUCCAAGGUUUUUGACCCUUCCAAAGUCGUUUCUGCCCUUAGUUUUACCAUCCGAGGACAUAUUUAACCGCUGGGAUUAUCUCGUUGUGAGUGACUUCAACCAAAACCAUCGAGGUAAAGGCAAGACGCCAAUGUACG